rnacentral:antisense_RNA from 1 species
GUAGGAGCGAGGCUUGCCCGCGAAGGCGUCUUUUCAGUCAACCUCUAUGGCGACUUUGAAGACGCCUUCGCGGGCAAGCCUCGCUCCUAC